rnacentral:rRNA from 1 species
GAACGCUGGCGGCAUGCCUAACACAUGCAAGUCGAACGAACCCUUCGGGGUUAGUGGCGCACGGGUGCGUAACGCGUGGGAAUCUGCCCUUUGCUUCGGAAUAACUCAGGGAAACUUGUGCUAAUACCGGAUGAUGUCUUCGGACCAAAGAUUUAUCGGCAAGGGAUGAGCCCGCGUAGGAUUAGGUAGUUGGUGGGGUAAAGGCCUACCAAGCCGACGAUCCUUAGCUGGUCUGAGUGGAUGAUCAGCCACACUGGGACUGAGACACGGCCCAGACUCCUACGGGAGGCGGCAGUGGGGAAUAUUGGACAAUGGGCGCAAGCCUGAUCCAGCAAUGCCGCGUGAGUGAUGAAGGCCCUCGGGUCGUAAAGCUCUUUUACCAGGGAUGAUAAUGACAGUACCUGGAGAAUAAGCUCCGGCUAACUCCGUG